UGGCGAUGAUGAUGAA
rnacentral:sRNA from 1 species